GUGAAACAAGCGAGAAAUCGGUGGGAUGGGCCAACCACACGUUCAGACCCGUCUAGUGCGUAUUCUCAGCCGGAAUGUUUCGAAACGGAGGAUUACGUUAGUAGGAGGCUUUGGGCUUUACCCCAAGGUAAAAGGAGACUGAAGUCUGAAGCAGCAAGCUGCGCUGGCGAUUUAUACUAGACGAAGCCAUUGCAACGUGACAAUGUGAGAAAGUCAACAAAUAUAGAAGAGAAGAAAAGGCUGAAAGAAAGAAUAAGAAAUGGAGCAGCGUGAAAGUAAGUUUGAACCGAAGAGAUGAGCUUCUCUUGAUGUUGAUGUGGAUUACGUCGACAAUGCUGAAGAAUCUGAUCAGUGUCCUGCUGUUAGUCCUGGACUCCAGUACGAAGCAUUCGCAGAUUGUUGUUGGCUGCUUUGUAUAAAAUGGAAAUUCUACGAGGUCACAAUUUAAAUGUCAGAAGGCACUAUGAGACAUUAUAGAGUAUCUCAAGUAAAAGAAAGCCAUCAAUAAU